CCUACGGGAGGCAGCAGUGAGGAAUAUUGGUCAAUGGACGCAAGUCUGAACCAGCCAUGCCGCGUGCAGGAAGACGGCUCUAUGAGUUGUAAACUGCUUUUGUACGAGGGUAAACGCAGAUACGCGUAUCUGUCUGAAAGUAUCGUACGAAUAAGGAUCGGCUAACUCCGUGCCAGCAGCAGCGGUAAUACGGAGGAUUCAAGCGUUAUCCGGAUUUAGUGGGGUUAAAGGGUGCGUAGGCGGUCGGAUAAGUUAGAGGUGAAAUCCCGAGGCUUAACUUCGGAAUUGCCUCUGAGACUGUUCGGCUAGAGAGUAGUUGCGGUAGGCGGAAUGUAUGGUGUAGCGGUGAAAUGCUUAGAGAUCAUACAGAACACCGAUUGCGAAGGCAGCUUACCAAGCUACUUCUGACGUUGAGGCACGAAAGCGUGGGGAGCAAACAGGAUUAGAUACCCGAGUAGUC
rnacentral:rRNA from 1 species